UGACGGGGACCCGCACAAGCGGUGGAGCAUGUGGCUUAAUUCGAGGCAACGCGAAGAACCUUACCUGGUCUUGACAUAUAUCUGACCGCCAUGGAAACAUGGUUUUUCUUCGGAACAGAUAUACAGGUGCUGCAUGGCUGUCGUCAGCUCGUGCUGUGAAGUGUUCGGUUAAGUCCGGCAACGAGCGCAACCCACGUCACUAGUUACCAUCAGGUAAUGCUGGGGACUUUAGUGAGACUGCCCGUGUUAAGCGGGAGGAAGGCGUGGAUGACGUCAAGUCAGUAUGGCCCUUAUGACCAGGGCUGCACACGUGCUACAAUGGCUGGUACAGAGGGAAGCAAUAUCGCGAGAUGGAGCAAAUCCGUAAAACCAGCCUAAGUUCGGAUUGGAGUCUGCAACUCGACUCCAUGAAGUCGGAAUCGCUAGUAAAGGCGUAUCAGCUACGACGCCUUGAAUACGUUCCCGGGUCUUGUACACACCGCCCGUCACAUCAUGGAAGUUGAUUGCACCCGAAGUCGUUGACCCAACUCU
rnacentral:rRNA from 1 species